AAGAACCAACAGGGAUUGCCCCAGUAACGGCGAGUGAAGCGGCAACAGCUCAAAUUUGAAAUCUGGCUCUCAGGGCCCGAGUUGUAAUUUGUAGAGGAUGCUUUUGGCGAGGUGCCUUCCGAGUUCCCUGGAACGGGACGCCACAGAGGGUGAGAGCCCCGUAUGGUCGGACACCGAGCCUCUGUAAAGCUCCUUCGACGAGUCGAGUAGUUUGGGAAUGCUGCUCAAAAUGGGAGGUAUAUGUCUUCUAAAGCUAAAUAUUGGCCAGAGACCGAUAGCGCACAAGUAGAGUGAUCGAAAGAUGAAAAGCACUUUGAAAAGAGGGUUAAAAAGUACGUGAAAUUGUUGAAAGGGAAGCGCCUAUGACCAGACUUGGGCCCGGUGAAUCACCCAGCGUUCUCGCUGGUGCACUUUGCCGGGCACAGGCCAGCAUCAGUUCAGCGCGGGGGAGAAAGGCUUCGGGAAUGUGGCUCCCUCGGGAGUGUUAUAGCCCGCUGCGUAAUGCCCUGCGCCGGACUGAGGUACGCGCAUUGCAAGGAUGCUGGCGUAAUGGUCAUCAGCGACCCGUCUUGAAACACGGACCAAGGAGUCGUCUUCGUAUGCGAGUGUUCGGGUGUCAAACCCCUACGCGUAAUGAAAGUGAACGUAGGUGAGAGCUUCGGCGCAUCACCGACCGAUCCUGAUGUUCUCGGAUGGAUUUGAGUAAGAGCAUACGGGGCCGGACCCGAAAGAAGGUGAACUAUGCCUGUAUAGGGUGAAGCCAGAGGAAACUCUGGUGGAGGCUCGCAGCGGUUCUGACGUGCGAAUCGAUCGUCAAUAUGGGCAUGGGGGCGAAAGACUAAUCGACC
rnacentral:rRNA from 1 species